rnacentral:rRNA from 1 species
CUACGGGUGGCAGCAGGCGCGAAACCUUUACAAUACACGAAAGUGUGAUAAGGGGAUCCCAAGUGCUUAUGCAUUGCAUAGGCUUUUCUCAAGAGUAAAUAUCUUGGGGAAUAAGUGGUGGGUAAGACUGGUGCCAGCCGCCGCGGUAACACCAGCGCCACGAGUGGCAAUCGCUAUUAUUGGGCCUAAAGCGUCCGUAGCCGGUUUGUUGAAUCUCUUGUGAAAUCGUUGAGCCCAACUCAACGGCAUGCAGGAGACACUAACAAACUAGGAACCAGGAGGAGUCAGAGGUAUUUUUGGGGGAGCGGUAAAAUGCUAUAAGCCCAGAAGGACCACCUGUGGCGAAGGCGUCUGACUAGAAUGGAUUCGACGGUGAGGGACGAAAGCCAGGGGAGCAAACCGGAUUAGAUACCCCUGUAGUC